rnacentral:rRNA from 1 species
AGAGCGUAUGGAGGAUGCCUUGGUCACAGUAGGCGAAGAAGGACGUGGUAAGCUGCGAAAAGCUGCGGGAAGCUGCAAACAAGCCUUGAUCCGCAGAUGUCCGAAUGGGGGAACCCGGCUGGCGUAAUGGCCAGUCACCGUUACAUGAAUCCAUAGUGUAACGGGGCGAACGCAGGGAAGUGAAACAUCUCAGUACCUGCAGGAAGAGAAAGUAAGAACGAUUCCGUAAGUAGCGGCGAGCGAACAUGGAAGAGCCUAAACCGUGUAAGUGUCAAGCAUCAGGGCGUUGCUUACACGGGGUCGAGGGACGACUUGGGUUACGCCUGAGAGUAACCAGGGAGUCAAGGAUUGAUUUAGCAGAACGAGCUGGAAAGUUCGGCCAAAGAGGGUGACAGCCCCGUAAGCGAAAGAUGAAUCUCUCCCGAGUCGCACCCGAGUACGGCGGGACACGAGAAACCCUGUCGGAAUUAGGGAGGACCAUCUCCUAAGGCUAAAUACUCACUGUGGACCGAUAGUGAACCAGUACCGUGAGGGAAAGGUGAAAAGAACCCUUAGAAAGGGAGUGAAAGAGAACCUGAAACCAUGCGCUUACAAGCGGUCGGAGCAAAUUGCUUGCAAUUUGUGACGGCGUGCCUUUUGCAUAAUGAGCUGGCUAGUUAAUGUCUGGAGCGAGGUUAAGGGAAAACGGAGCCGAAGCGAAAGCGAGUCUGAAUAGGGCGCUGUAGUUCCAGGUAUUAGACGCGAAGCGGGAUGAUCUAGCCAUGGGCAGGCUGAAGCUUGGGUAACACCAAGUGGAGGGCCGAACCAAUGUAGGUUGAAAACUACUUGGAUGACCUGUGGUUAGGGGUGAAAGGCCAAUCAAAUUCCGUUAUAGCUCGUUCUCCCCGAAAUAGCUUUAGGGCUAGCGUUGGUUGUUUCUUAUCGGAGGUAGAGAACUGGAAGGACUAGGGGUCUCACCAGAUUACUGAAUCCUAUCAAACUGCGAAUGCCGAUAAGUAGAAGACCAGCAGUCAGACUGCGGGCGACAAGGUCCGUAGUCGAGAGGGAAAGAACCCAGAUCACCAGCUAAGGUCCCCAAAUAUGUGCUAAGUGGAAAAGGAUGUGGGAGCGCUCAGACAACCAGGAUGUUGGCUUAGAAGCAGCCACCAUUUAAAGAAAGCGUAAUAGCUCACUGGUCAAGCGAGCCUGUGCCUACAAUGUAACGGGGCUCAAGCACAUUACCGAAGCUGUGAGAACAAGUGGUAGCCACUUGUUCGGUAGGGGAGCGUUCCGUAGGCCGAAGAAGGUAAUUCGACGAGGAUUACUGGAGGUAUCGGAAGAGACUCUGCCAGCAUUAGUAGCGAAAAGACGGGUGAGAACCCCGUCCGCCGAAAACCCAAGGUUUCCAGGGCAAGGCCAAUCCGCCCUGGGUGAGUCGGUUCCUAAGGCAAGGCCGAAAGGCGUAGUCGAUGGAAAUCCGGUUAAUAUUCCGGAACCAGCAAGUUGUUGUUUGCACGAAGCGGGGACGCAGAAAGGUAGCGUUACGCCCUGAUGGAAGUGGGCGGUUAAGCGUGUAGGGAGAGCGUGUAGAGAAGUUCGCAUGUUCCGAAUCCUGAGACGUGAUGACGAGGAGUCUCAAUAAAGAGAGUCUGAAGUACGUGAUCCUAGGCUGCCGAGAAAAGCCGCUAAGGAGACAACUGGCUGACCGUACCGUAAACGGACACACGUGGGUGAGGAGAGAAUCCUAAGGCGUUUGAGCGAACUCAGGCUAAGGAACUCGGCAAAAUAGCUCCGUAACUUCGGGAGAAGGAGUGCCCUUGUGUACGUGAUCACUCGAGCAGUGUGAGCGGAAGAGGGUUGCAGUGAAAGGUUCCAGGCGACUGUUUACCAAAAACACAGGACUCUGCGAAGUCGAACACGACGUAUAGGGUCUGACGCCUGCCCGGUGCCGGAAGGUCACGAGGAGGGGUUAUCCGUAAGGAGAAGCUCUGAAUUUAAGCCCCGGUAAACGGCGGCCGUAACUAUAACGGUCCUAAGGUAGCGAAAUUCCUUGUCGGGUAAGUUCCGACCUGCACGAAUGGCGUAACGAUCUGGAAACUGUCUCGGCCUGAGACUCAGCGAAGUUGUAGUGUCGGUGAAGAUGCCGACUACCCGCAGCAAGACGGAAAGACCCCGUGAACCUUUACUAUAGCUAGAUAUUGAUCUUGUGUGUCAGAUGUGCAGGAUAGGUGGGAGGCAGAGACCGGUGUUCGUCAGGAUGCCGUGAGCCACUGGUGAGAUACCACUCUUGUGUCAUGUGAGAUCUAACCGCGUUCCGUGAUCCGGAACCGGGACCGUGUCUGGUGGGUAGUUUGACUGGGGCGGUCGCCUCCCAAAGCGUAACGGAGGCGCCCAAAGGUUCCCUCAGAUGGUUUGGAAAUCCAUCGCAGAGUGUAAAGGCAAAAGGGAGCUUGACUGCAAGAGAGACAUUUCGAGCAGGGUGGAAACACGGGCUUAGUGAUCCGGCGACUCCGUAUGGAAGGGUCGUCGCUCAACGGAUAAAAGGUACUCCGGGGAUAACAGGCUGAUCUUGCCCAAGAGUUCACAUCGACGGCAAGGUUUGGCACCUCGAUGUCGGCUCAUCACAUCCUGGAGCUGAAGCAGGUUCCAAGGGUUUGGCUGUUCGCCAAUUAAAGUGGUACGCGAGCUGGGUUCAGAACGUCGUGAGACAGUUCGGUCCCUAUCUGCUGUGGGCGCAGGAGAAUUGCGAAAAGCUGACCUUAGUACGAGAGGACCGGGUUGGACGAAGCUCUGGUGUACCGGUUGUGCUGCCAAGUGCAAUGCCGGGUAGCGAUCUUCGGAAGGGAUAACCGCUGAAAGCAUCUAAGCGGGAAGCCCCAUUCAAGAUGAAUUCU